AUAUGUGGCAAAUCCACAUUUCUGGAUGUUCCAUGAAAAAUAUAAAUAGGCUGCUUAGUGUGAAAGAAGUGACUAUGUUUUGGUUUACACUUGUGGUUCUGUCGUCAGCAGGCAUUAUAUAACAGUUUCAGUGUUUUGAAGCCACAACUGUUUUCCCGAUGAAGACUCCUGCCUGACUGCAACGGGGCUUCCCAGUCAAGAUUGAAGACAGGAUGAAGCUUUCUCUUUAUUGAUUCUAACUCUAGUCUAUGCCAUGCUAACUGUUUGUGUUCUCGCUGUGCUGUAUGGAGUCCCUUUGGCAGAGUACGUAACACCAGGAGUAAAAGCAACUGGAGUCCAACUCAACAGUAAUUCGGUGGGGAUGGGUUGCUAGUGCACAGAAGGUACUUUUACCUGUCCUGCUGGACAGGAAUAUUCUGUUAAUUUGACUUACGAAGGAAAUCGAACUAUUUGGAGGGUGAGGAGGGGACAUUUGUAUGUCCAUCUACUGGAUGAUGGACCAACUACGGUAACAAUCCGAAAUUACACGGACAUAAAAUGUUGCAAUUGUAAAUAUGAACAGACAUAUCAAGAAAAUUAUUACUUUUGUCAGAAUGGAACUGAUGUUUAUAAUGAAUCAAUUGACAUGCGGAACAUUACUGUAUUGUUUUGUAUGAAUGUAACUCGAAUCAUAACUAGAAAGGCAUGGGCUUCACAAAUGACUGUAUUGAAUAACAAUCCCAAAGCUCAUUUUAACCAAAUAAUUAAAGUAUCUUCUACAUGUAGAUAUGUAGGACAGGAAUAUCAAAAGACUGUUACAUUUUAAUAUUACUUUUCCAAAAUUAGGUAAGUGCAAGCAGAAAUGAGCAUGGUAUAGUACCUUUAUUAGGAGGUAUUAGUACAGGGUUAUGAACCUUGAAUGCAAUUGAUGUUGAAGUUUUAGCUAAUAAAAUUAAAUCUGUGGGUCAGGAUAUUUCACAAAUUAUACAUUUACAUGCUCAGUGGAAUCCUACAGUUUAGCACACACAAAAACAGCUUGUUAGUUAAGAGAGAGAAUUUUUAGAUCAAUUUAAUGCUUAUGUGGUUUCCAAUUUGAAACUUGAUGCAAAUGUCACUAGGUUUGUAAAUUGGACAACGUACCUUACAGUCUUUUUAUGUUUCAAUGCAGAAAAAUCUUGUACAGACCAAAUUAAUGCUUAAGAAUGAACAUGUCUGGAGACAACUGUUUAACCAAUGGAUACCUAGUACAAAUUGGAUAAGGCUGUUUUCUGAAAAAACAAAAUACAACUUUUGUACAGGUUAUAUUAUGCAUUAUAAUGUCACAGAUGAAAAAAUGUGUCAACUUGUAACCUUUCCACUGGUAUUUGUACCUCCGUCAUAUCCAUUCCAAUAUUGGUUACCCCAUUUAGAAGGGAACUACAUUGACUUCUCAAACAGAACACACAAAUUAGAACAUUGUACUGAAACAAUGGAUGGACUCAUCUGUGGACAACAGUCCCCUAUAUAUGAACCAUGUUUACUUCAGCAUUCCAUCAACAUCUGUAAAUGGACUAUAUGACCUCCUACUUUUGAGAUGUUCAUAGAGUUAGCACCACAGUUUACAUGUUUACUGACAAAUCAAACGCUGUCAUAUGCCUUGAGGAAUCCUUUUGUAGGUUGCCUAGGUAAUGUAACUCAUUUGAACAGGCAUAAUGAAACUUGUAUCUUUUCUCCUGAAACAUAUAUUAAUGUAUUUCAUGCCUGGUCACCAGACAAGCUGGAGUAUCAUAACGUGACUUUCAACCUCAAUUCUUUACAGAAAGUAUUGAACAAUACGCAACAUCUUGAAAAACAUUUACAGGCAAUAAAUCAUAGUAUUUUACAUCAUGAAAUGACAAGUAUUAUUAUAGGGAAUAAGCUGGUUAGUUUAGCCAAGAAAACAGAGUCUGAUACAGCACAUAAUUGGUGGGAUAUAUAUACCGGAUUUCAGCAUCCGGCACCAAGUUGUUGAAUUGGUUAAUACAUCCAAUAUUAGUUCUACUGAUUGCUUUGAUUUUUAUUGACAUUGUCGAUUAACUUAUUGUGUUUAUAAAAAGGCAGUUACGGUCUUGAAUGUCUGAUAUAAGUGAGUCAAUAGUCAAGGGGCCGAAUGUGAUACAAAAGAGGAGUACAGUGAGUGAGUGAGUGUGAUUAUUUGAUUUUUGCCUCACUAUAUCUCAACAUUCUCUUUAUUUUCUUUAUUUCUUCCCUGACAUAUGAAGUAAUGCUAUAUUCUGAAAGUGUCAGCAGGCAUGAGGGAUGAUGCUGUGUUCCAAAACAGUUUAGUGAUUUCAGCAAAGUCAAUACAUUUGAUUACAAAAUAUGUCUUACAUUUGAUUGCGAAAUAUGUCUUUUAUGUGUGUGUGUGCUGGGAUAUGCCAGUAAAGUACUAAAACUUGCAAAGUCAUGGGAAUAUUCCAGUGUAACACUUGAAAAUUGCAAAAUCAUUGUCUAUGUCAGGAAUUGCUGUUGCUUUUGGGGUGGGUGGCCAACACCACAGAAUGAUCUAGCUCCAGCCUACACUUCAAAAGUACUGAUUCUCAUUACUUGUG